UUACGCCCACAUUACGGUUUAAACAUCGGUUCCCACACGAUCACCGAAGUUAAGCAACGUCGAGCCUAGUCAGUACCUAGAUGGGUGUCCGCUUGGAAAUACUAGGUGCUGUAAG